AUGCCAUGCAGGCUCAGCCACCUGCACGCGGCCACUGACGCAGCCACUGUGGCGCUACCGCCGACCACCCGCUCAUGCCACCGCGGUCUGCCGCACCGUCACGCCCUUCUCCCCGCCUGUCUCCCCACUCACGAGCAGUCUUAUCGAGGCAACCCGACGCAGAACAGCCAGCCACAGAGGGUGGCAGCGUUCAUCUCUGAGUCUCAAAGUAUGACGUACAGAGGUGAUCAAGCUGUAUAUAGCUAUGUGGAAUGCUUUGAUUUGAUGGUGCUGUCGGGUUGGGAGCAUGAAACAUGCUCUGUAGUUCUUUGGUUCAAUGCAGGAGGAAGGGAUGUACCUAGACCCGAAGAUCUUUAUUAA
rnacentral:rRNA from 1 species